AGUGAACGCUGGCGGUAGGCCUAACACAUGCAAGUCGAACGGCAGCACAGUAAGAGCUUGCUCUUACGGGUGGCGAGUGGCGGACGGGUGAGGAAUACAUCGGAAUCUACUUUUUCGUGGGGGAUAACGUAGGGAAACUUACGCUAAUACCGCAUACGACCUACGGGUGAAAGCAGGGGAUCUUCGGACCUUGCGCGAUUGAAUGAGCCGAUGUCGGAUUAGCUAGUUGGCGGGGUAAAGGCCCACCAAGGCGACGAUCCGUAGCUGGUCUGAGAGGAUGAUCAGCCACACUGGAACUGAGACACGGUCCAGGCUCCUACGGGAGGCAGCAGUGGGGAAUAUUGGACAAUGGGCGCAAGCCUGAUCCAGCCAUACCGCGUGGGUGAAGAAGGCCUUCGGGUUGUAAAGCCCUUUUGUCGGGAAAGAAAAGCAGCAGGUUAAUACCCCGCUGUUCUGACGGUACCCAAAGAAUAAGCACCGGCUAACUUCGUG
rnacentral:rRNA from 1 species